AUUGAACGCUGGCGGCAGGCCUAACACAUGCAAGUCGAACGAGUGGCGGACGGGUGAGUAAUGUCUGGGAAACUGCCUGAUGGAGGGGGAUAACUACUGGAAACGGUAGCUAAUACCGCAUACCAUCGGAUGUGCCCAGAUGGGAUUAGCUAGUAGGUGGGGUAAAGGCUCACCUAGGCGACGCUCCCUAGCUGGUCUGAGAGGAUGACCAGCCACACUGGAACUGAAGCACGGUCCAGAAACCUACGGGAGGCAGGAGUGGGGUAUAUUGCCACAUGGGCGCAAGCCUGAUGCAGCCAUGCCGCGUGGAUGAAGAAGGCCUUCGGGUUGUAAAGUACUUUCAGGGGGGAGGCGUUACCCGCAGAAGAAGCACCGGCUAACUCCGUGCCAGCAGCCGCGGUAAUUC
rnacentral:rRNA from 1 species